UCCUGAUCGAGGGCGGGACCUCGUGCGUCUGGGGACUGCUGAGUAAUUUAUCCUCUGCGGGCGUUGCCGGUGGAACAAUGCCGGAGUUGUGGUAGACCUGAGACCUUGCUAAAUCUCCCAAGAAAAGGAUUAUUGGUCUGAUGAUCUGACCGCCUGGGUGGGCCAGGGAAUCCCACCGAGGAAAGGCCGAAAAAAUGAUAGAAAAAAGGGUUCUCAGGACAGUUAGGAACAGAUUAAACCAAAAGUAAAUCAUACUUUUAUAUAGCUCAUUACGUUUACAGCGCUGUUUCAUGAUUCUUGUAUUUGAACACUGCACAUUCAUAAAGAGUAUCCGUUUCUUUUCCAAGCUUUGUUGUAGUCUAGGGACGCCUUAUUUCUGUGGAUAUCAAUUCAUUCAUUCAACAUUAUGGCAGGCUUUCUGUAUACCAGUACACUUCUAGGCACCAGAGAUAAAUAGCAGUGGAUAAAGCAAAUAAUAUUUCUUUCUCGGGAAAGUUAUAAUACAGCCAAAGGAAUAAUCAAAUAUCAGUCACUUUGGAGGAUGCCAUAUAUGACAUGCACAAUCCUAUAAUGAAGCUGAGAUGGAUGCUCACUUGGCCCUGUGAGCUGCAGCAGCCAUGGCCAGCCAGUCACAGGGGAUCCAGCAGCUGUAGGCCGAGAAGCAGGCCGCAGAGGAGGUGUUGGAGGCUUGCAAGCACCUUGGGAUCCCACGGCAGGUGCAGCAAUGAAGUGGAGAAAGAGACCCAGGAGAAGAUGACCAUCCUCCAGACCUACUUUCGGCAGAACAGGGAAAAAAUUCUGGAUAACCUCUUGGCCUUCAUCUGCGACAUCUGGCCAAAAAUUCCAUGAAAACUACUGCAACA